rnacentral:pre_miRNA from 1 species
AUAUAUGGCAACCUGUCUUUAAGUAGGGUAAAUUACUCUUGAAAAUGUUCCUUGAUGGUUUCCUCUUCAAGUCAAGUGUCUUGU